rnacentral:rRNA from 1 species
UGGGGAAUAUUGGACAAUGGGGGCAACCCUGAUCCAGCCAUGCCGCGUGUGUGAAGAAGGCCUUUUGGUUGUAAAGCACUUUAAGCAGUGAAGAAGACUCCAUGGUUAAUACCCAUGGACGAUGACAUUAGCUGCAGAAUAAGCACCGGCUAACUCUGUGCCAGCAGCCGCGGUAAUACAGAGGGUGCAAGCGUUAAUCGGAAUUACUGGGCGUAAAGCGAGCGUAGGUGGCUUGAUAAGUCAGAUGUGAAAGCCCCGGGCUUAACCUGGGAACGGCAUCUGAUACUGUUAGGCUAGAGUAGGUGAGAGGAAGGUAGAAUGCCAGGUGUAGCGGUGAAAUGCGUAGAGAUCUGGAGGAAUACCGAUGGCGAAGGCAGCCUUCUGGCAUCAUACUGACACUGAGGUUCGAAAGCGUGGGUAGCAAACA